GAUGAACGCUGGCGGCGUGCCUAAUACAUGCAAGUCGAGCGAACGGACGAGAAGCUUGCUUCUCUGAUGUUAGCGGCGGACGGGUGAGUAACACGUGGAUAACCUACCUAUAAGACUGGGAUAACUUCGGGAAACCGGAGCUAAUACCGGAUAAUAUUUUGAACCGCAUGGUUCAAAAGUGAAAGACGGUCUUGCUGUCACUUAUAGAUGGAUCCGCGCUGCAUUAGCUAGUUGGUAAGGUAACGGCUUACCAAGGCAACGAUGCAUAGCCGACCUGAGGGGGUGAUCGGCCACACUGGAACUGAGACACGGUCCAGACUCCUACGGGAGGAAGCAGUAGGGAAUCUUCCGCAAUGGGCGAAAGCCUGACGGAGCAACGCCGCGUGAGUGAUGAAGGUCUUCGGAUCGUAAAACUCUGUUAUUAGGGAAGAACAUAUGUGUAAGUAACUGUGCACAUCUUGACGUUACCUAAUCAGAAAGCCACGGCUAACUACGUG
rnacentral:rRNA from 1 species